rnacentral:misc_RNA from 1 species
UGAAAUGCGAUAAGUAAUGUGAAUUGCAGAAUCUCGUGAAUCAUUGAAUCUUUGAACGCACAUUGCGCCCUAUGGUAUUCCGUAGGGCAUGCCUGUCUGAGCGUCAGCUCGUCUUCUCAAGCUCUUUUGCUUGGAUAACAUUGGAAUAGCAAUACAUGCUCUUUUGAGUCUGUGUGCUCUCCAGAAAUAUAUAGGCGGUACGGUUCUAGCAAACCAGACGUAAUAAUAUUCUUAUCUAUCGUUAAUUUGUUGAAACUGUUGCUUGCCUUUUAAUCCACAUCUUUCUUCAAGAUGACCUCAGAUCAGGUAGGGAUACCCGCUGAACUUAA